GACGAACGCUGGCGGCGUGCUUAACACAUGCAAGUCGAACGGUGAAAGCGGAGCUUGCUCCGCUGGAUCAGUGGCGAACGGGUGAGUAACACGUGGGCAACCUGCCCCUCACUUCGGGAUAACUCCGGGAAACCGGGGCUAAUACCGGAUAUGACCUCCUUGGGCAUCCUUGGAGGUGGAAAGUUUUUCGGUGAGGGAUGGGCCCGCGGCCUAACCGCUGGUUGGUGAGGUAGUGGCUCACCACGGCGACGACGGGUAGCCGGCCUGAGGGGGCGGCCGGGCACACUGGGACGGGGACACGGCCCAGACGCCUACGGGGGGCAGCAGUGGGGAAUAUUGCGCAAUGGGCGAAAGCCUGACGGAGCAGCGCCGCGUGCGGGAUGACGGCCUUCGGGUUGUAGACCGCUUUCAGCAGGGAAGAAGCCGCAAGGUGACGGUACCUGCAGAAGAAGCACCGGCUAACUACGUGCCAGCCGCCGCGGUAA
rnacentral:rRNA from 1 species